CAGUAGUCACGAGUUUGAUCAUGGCUCAGGAUGAACGCUAGCGGCAGGCUUAACACAUGCAAGUCGAGGGGUUAUUGGUUUUUCGGACCAAGAGACCGGCGCACGGGUGCGUAACGCGUAUGCAAUCUACCUUUUGCAGAGGGAUAGCCCAGAGAAAUUUGGAUUAAUACCUCAUAGUAUAGUACUUUGGCAUCAAGGAACUAUUAAAGUCACAACGGCAAAAGAUGAGCAUGCGUCCCAUUAGCUAGUUGGUAAGGUAACGGCUUACCAAGGCUACGAUGGGUAGGGGUCCUGAGAGGGAGAUCCCCCACACUGGUACUGAGACACGGACCAGACUCCUACGGGAGGCAGCAGUGGGGGAAUAUUGGACAAUGGGCGAAAGCCUGAUCCAGCAAUGCCGCGUGAGUGAUGAAGGCCUUCGGGUUGUAAAGCUCUUUUACUCGGGACGAUAAUGACGGUACCGAGAGAAUAAGCCCCGGCUAACUCCGUG
rnacentral:rRNA from 1 species